GGCGGCGCUGUGAGGGGGCUGGCGCGCCCCGCGGGGCAGCCGUGCGCCUUGUGCGGCAGAAAAUGGUUAAACCACCCCAGCACGGAUCUUGCCUUCUCUGUCGUUCUUUGCAAGCAGCAAUUACCAGCAAUAGGCUGGGUAGCCGACCGUCCGGCUCGCUGCGCCCAUCGUUCUAACUCGUUUCUGUUUUGUUUCUUAGGCUUUAGGUAGCAUCUAUGAAGAUAGAAACUGACUUCCUGACCGGGAUUACUGAGCUGUGCCCAGAGCCUUUUCGCGAGGAGCCCUGGCACGAAGAUGAGUACCAUCGACUCACAGGAUGAUGAAGAUACCUUUAAAAUACUUAUUGCUACUGAUAUUCAUCUUGGCUAUUUGGAGAAGGAUCCAGUACGUGGAAAUGAUACAUUUGUAACUUUCAAUGAAAUUCUGGACCAUGCUCAAAAAAAUGAAGUGGACUUUGUUUUGUUAGGUGGGGACCUUUUUCAUGAAAACAAACCUUCCAGAAAAACAGUACACUCUUGUUUGGAGUCUCUAAGAAAAUACUGCAUGGGUGAUCGUCCUGUUCAGUUUGAAAUUUUGAGUGAUCAGGCAGUUAAUUUUCAUUAUAGCAAGUUUCCAUGGGUGAAUUACCAGGAUGAAAAUCUCAACAUUUCUAUUCCAAUUUUUAGUAUUCAUGGCAAUCACGAUGAUCCCACAGGGGCAGAUGCACUGUGUGCAUUGGAUAUUUUAAGCUGUGCAGGACUGUUGAAUCACUUUGGACGUUCGACUUCCGUGGAGAAAAUAGAUAUUAGUCCCAUUUUAUUGCGUAAGGGUAGAACAAAAAUUGCUCUGUACGGCUUGGGAGCUAUUCCAGAUGAGAGGUUGUAUCGUAUGUUUGUCAAUAAAAAAGUAACUAUGCUGAGACCAAGGGAAGAUGAAGAUAGUUGGUUUAACUUGUUUGUGAUUCAUCAAAAUAGGAGCAAACAUGGAGCUACCAACUACAUUCCAGAGCAGUUUUUAGAUGACUUUAUUAAUCUUGUUGUGUGGGGUCAUGAACAUGAGUGCAAAAUAGCUCCAUCCCAGAAUGAACAGCAACGUUUCUACGUUUCUCAGCCAGGAAGUUCAGUGGUGACAUCUCUGUCCCCUGGAGAAGCUGUGAAGAAACACAUUGGUUUGCUGCAUGUUAAAGGGAAAAAAAUGAAAAUGCAGAAGAUUGCUCUAGAGACAGUGAGGACUUUCUACAUGGAGGAUAUUGUUCUGGCUGAUCAUCCAGAUCUUUUUAAUCCUGACAAUCCUAAAGUAACUCAGGCAAUACAAGCAUUCUGCAUGGAAAAGGUUGAAUUGAUGCUGGACAACGCGGAAAGAGAACGCUUGGGAAAUCCUCGCCAGCCAGAGAAACCUCUCAUAAGAUUACGAGUUGAUUAUGCAGGUGGCUUUGAACCAUUCAGUGUCCAUCGUUUUAGCCAGAAGUAUGUGGAUAGGGUGGCUAACCCAAAAGACAUCAUAUACUUUUUCAGGCAUCGUGAACAAAAGGAGAAAAAUGACAGUGAUCUGAAUUUUGGAAAACUGGUUAGCAGACCUGCUUCUGAGGGGAUGACACUGAGGGUGGAAGACCUUGUAAAGCAGUAUUUUCAGACAGCGGAGAAGAAAGCACAGCUUUCACUUCUAACCGAAAGAGGAAUGGGAGAAGCAGUGCAGGAGUUUGUGGACAAAGAGGAAAAAGAUGCCAUAGAAGAGUUGGUGAAAUUUCAACUAGAAAAAACACAAAGGUUUCUUAAGGAGCGUCGCACUGAUGCAGAGGAAGAAAAAAUAGAUGAGGAGGUGCGAAAGUUCAGGGAGAGUAGAAAAAAGAACACCGAAGAAGAGGAUGAGGAAGUUCGUGAGGCAAUAACCAGGGCUAGAGCCCACAGAUCUGAGGAUGCAAUUCUUGUCGCAGCCUCCAGUGAUGAAGAACUCAUAGAUACGGGGCUGAGAGGCACUGGUGAUUCAGAUGACGGUCUUCCUGCAACACUGAGCCGAGGAAGGGGUCGGGCAAGAGGUAGGGCAAGGGGUGCAAGAGGACAAAAUUCAACAGCAAGAGGUUCAUCUCAAAGGGGAAGAGGGAGCACUAGCCAAGGGUCAGCUACUAGCAGCAGAACCUACAAGCCUGUAUCUGUGCCUGCCAAGAGUACGUCUAUCAUCGAUGCCUUUAGGUCUUUGAAACCACAGCCCUCCUUGAAUUCAUCUAAAUCUUACUUUGAGGAUAUUAUAGAUGAUGACUCUGAUCUAGAAGACAUUUCUAUUGUUCCUUCUUCCAAAGCAAAGCAAAGGUUGUCAACUACAUCUUCACUUAGUAAAAGAGGUUCACAAAGCCAAACACCUAGAGGAGUUGAUUUUGAGUCAGAUGAGGAUGAAUUUGAUCCAUUCAAAAGCACUGCAACGUCAAGAAGAACGAAGUGAUUUCUGGCUCACUGUACAAGAGAGACCGUGAAAGUUAGUGGAGAAAGUGGAAAACAGUUUACAAGGCGUUCUAUAUAUGACAUUUCUCUGUAAAUGAUGGCUUGCCUUUAGUUUUCACUUCUAUGAAAUGUUUUUGGGUUGGGAUUUUUUUUUUCAGUGGUGACAAAUUUGGUAUAAUUUGGGCAUUGCAUUGCUUGAUGCAUUAGAUUAGAGUGUCUUAAUAUUCUGAAGUACUGCCUGAAACUGCAAGUUCUUUCUAAAACUUCUAAAAGCCUGUUUUCUUUCUGGUUGAUAACGUAAAUGACACUCAUAUAUUUUAUAAAAAAACUCCAUUUCUUGGUCUUGAAUUUUGCAGAGGUGUAAAUUUAUAGUAGUAUGCAAGCAUGGAUAUGGGUAUGGACUCGGUACUUAUUUUCAAUUUUCUACAGAUACAGUUGAAAACUCCGAAGAGUAAUAGUUUGACCCAAAAAUGAUUUUCAGUAUUGAAGCUGGAAAAUGUUCUAAUACUUUCAACUCUACUAGAAGAACUAAACCCACUCUUGCACUGUUACUAAACGUCAUAGUAUACAGCAAUGCUGCUCUGUAAUUCAAGAAGUGCCAAAAACUUCAGAUUGAAUUGCGUUGUCAGCUUUUACCCUGUGAGAAAGACGUAAGGGCUAGAGCCUUACAGCUUCACAAGGUCGCUGCUUGAAGAGUAAAGCAAUUGAGCCAGUAAUGGGCAGGACAUUGCCUCUUACCUUUUCCUUAGUGGACAUUUUUCAGGUAUCUGUUUCUUCAGUCCACUGGUUCAGUAACCCUCCUAAAAUGUCAUCGCUAUUUUCCAAAUAUUCUCCAAAUGAGGAUUUUAAAAUACAGUGUUGUAUGCACAGUGGGGGAACCACUGCUUCUGUUGAAGGAGCCAAGACCUAGACCUAUUCCUCCUCCUCGCUUUCCCCCUCUGUACGGCCUGCUCCCCAAAAAUCGCUGUUGGCCAUUGGAGCUAAUCAAGGAAAAGGCCAGAAGAGUCCAUCAGCUAACGCCCCAGCGUGUUGGAGAAGAAUAUGCUGAGUAGCUGCAGCCGUGCCUUUGCAUUUUUACUUUCUCCUUCAAAGAGAUGGGAGUGGGCAGUUGUGUUUCUCUGGCUCUCGCUGAACAUGACUGUUGCUACUUUGCCUGCAUAUAUGCUGUAGCAGGGAACCUAAAUAAGCCUUGAGCUUCCUGAAGACAUCCGUAAAAAUGAUUGAGACCUGCAGAUUUCUAGUGUAGAGCUUAGUAGCAACUUACAAAGCACUGCGCUCACUUAAGAUACCUUUUACAAAACCAAGACACAACGUACCAAACCCUGACAUUCCUGUGCGGGUGCUUCCUUUCCUGUCGGUGAGUGCUGGGGAUGGUGGAGCAAGGGUGAAGUCGGCGGGAACAGGCAGCGGGCAGACAAAUCUACUACAGCUUGUUCUCUGGUCACAACCACGCGUAGGGGAACAGAAUCUGGUAGAUGUGGAAGAAGAACUGGAGCUGAGCAUCAGAAGAGAGAAUACCCUUACGCAUUGGCCAGCAGCACUGAAAAGGAGAGGGACUUGGGAGCUGCUGGAGCAGCCCAGCAAGAAGGGGGACAUGCACCACCAACCACUCCAUUCUCACCUCAGACCCACAGCAGAACGCUGCCCUGUCCCCCGUUCUGCCAUUUCCCUGGCCUUUGUGUUACAUUGUGAGACUCUGUGUGUUUUCCUGGCAGCGUCAGCUUGGGGGCAUCCUCACUGGCCAAGCGCUUCUGAGCUGGGCGCAGAUUCCUUCUCUCUGAAUGGUCACAGGUGUCUGCCACCUUAGCAGCUCCAGCAGGUUCGCUGGAAAGCUUCCUCUGAGACAGGCAAACUGCCAAAAGAGCUCAAGCUGGACAAUUCUGAGGAAGAAAUAGAGGCUGGCAGCAGCUUGCAGAUGAGCGCUGUGGGCUGGCCGUGCCGCCUGUCCUGCUGUGUUCCACUCCUGAGCAGCGGUGAGGAGAAAGCGGCCUGAGUGGUUCGCAGGGGGACUCACAAGCAUCUUCUGGAAGUGUUAUUGUCACCAAUGAGCAGCCAACUUAUAAGCUAAGCUUUUCAGAUAAUGGUCUUUUAAUUGAUGGCUAACUAAAGCAUUUUAUGUACCAAGCCUGCUCUGACCGGGGUUAGUGGACACCACCCGAGCAGAUCUGUCCCCAGCAGAGGGGCAGCACCUCACAUGUGCACUCGUGGAGGGAUUUGUGGAUCUUGUCAUGUGUGCUGUGUAGGACUUGUGGCUCUUGGUCUCCUGAUACUGAUUUUAGAUUUCCUUCUGUGUUUUUGGGGAGAAGGCCCAGGGAACACACAUGCUGCUGUCUCAUCAGUGCUUGGGUCCAGCGUAUGGCCACCUGUUGCUUUGGAUACUGGACUCACGGGGUUGGGACAUCCCCUUCUGUCACCUGUACCAUAUAAUCACCUCUUUGUAACAACCUCUGUAUUUCUACAAACCCUGGAAAGCACAGUUCCACAUAAAACUGUUUAUCCCCUAGGCCAAGAGGAAAUUCCUGCCAAGGGAAAGCUUAAGUACUUCUCUGUCUCUCUGAGGGAAAAAAAGCUUUUGGAAAAAUAUUGCAAAUAUAGUAAGCUGGCUCGUUAGUCACAGUUCAUCUGUUACCCCCCUGUUCUAUGCUAAUUAUUGUGUCAUGCUGUGAAAUAGAAUCGUAGAAUCGUUUAGGUUGGAAAAGACCUUUAAGACCAUCAAGUCCAACUGUUAACCUAAC